GCCUGGCUAGCUCAAUCGGUAGAGCGUCAGACUCUUAAUCUGAAGGUUGGGGGUUCGACCCCCCCGUUAGGCU
rnacentral:tRNA from 1 species